GAUGAACGCUGGCGGCGUGCCUAAUACAUGCAAGUCGAGCGAAUGGAUUAAGAGCUUGCUCUUGUGAAGUUAGCGGCGGACGGGUGAGUAACACGUGGGUAACCUGCCCAUAAGACUGGGAUAACUCCGGGAAACCGGGGCUAAUACCGGAUAACAUUUUGAACCGCAUGGUUCGAAAUUGAAAGGCGGCUUCGGCUGUCACCUAUGGAUGGACCCGCGUCGCAUUAGCUAGUUGGUGGGGUAACGGCUCACCGAGGCAACGAUGCGUAGCCGACCUGAGAGGGUGAUCGGCCAAACUGGGACUGAGACACGGCCCAGACUCCUACGGGAGGCAGCAGUAGGGAAUCUUCCGCAAUGGACGAAAGUCUGACGGAGCAACGCCGCGUGAGUGAUGAAGGCUUUCGGGUCGUAAAACUCUGUUGUUAGGGAAGAACAAGUGCUAGUUGAAUAAGCUGGCACCUUGACGGUACCUAACCAGAAAGCCACGGCUAACUACGUGCCAGCAGCCGCGGUAA
rnacentral:rRNA from 1 species